ensembl:snRNA U6 U6 spliceosomal RNA
GUGCUCGCCUCGGUAGCACAUUUACUAAAAUUGGAAUGAUACAGGCAAGAUGAGCAUGGCCUUGUGCAAGUAUAAGAUUUUUUUCCAGUAGUACAUUACUCUG